UCGCCCUGUGGUGGAUUCUCAAAGAUUAAGCCAUGCAUGUGUAAGCACACACUGUUUUAAAAGUGAAGCCGCGAAUGGCUCAUUACAACAGCCACAGUUUAUUAGAACUUACAAUCAUGGAUAACUGUGGUAAUUCUAGAGCUAAUACACGCACAAAAACUUCAACUGAAUUGGUUGAAGUGCUUUUAUUAGAACAAAAACCGAACGGCGUUUGACGAAUGUUGAACGUCGAAACUGUUUGGUGAAUCUGAAUAACUAUUUCUGAUCGCAUGGUCUAGCACCGGCGACAUCACUUUCAAGUGUCUGCCUUAUCAACCUUCGAUGGUAGUCUAUGCGACUACCAUGGUGAUAACGGGUAACGGAGAAUCAGGGUUCGACUCCGGAGAGGGAGCCUGAGAAACGGCUACCACAUCCAAGGAAGGCAGCAGGCGCGCAAAUUACCCACUCCCAGCUUGGGGAGGUAGUGACGAAAAAUAACGAGACGAUUCUCGUUUGAGAAACGUUAUCGAAAUGAGUACGCUUUACACACGCUAACGAGUAGCAAUUGGAGGGCAAGUCUGGUGCCAGCAGCCGCGGUAAUUCCAGCUCCAAUAGCGUAUAUUAAAGUUGCUGCGGUUAAAACGCUCGUAGUUGAAUUGUGGUCUUAGACAACAGUCCCCCUACAAAGGUGUGGCACGGUUGCUCGAGAUCUUCAUUCGUGGUUGCUGUUGUUGCUCUUCAUUGAGUGUCAAUGGUGCCUCGAGAUUUUACUUUGAAAAAAUUAGAGUGCUCAAGCAGGUUGUGAUGCCUGAAUAUGGUGCAUGGAAUAAUAGAAUACGAUCUCGGUUCUAUUUU
rnacentral:ncRNA from 1 species